rnacentral:rRNA from 1 species
UGCCAGCCGCCGCGGUAAUACGGAGGGAGCUAGCGUUGUUCGGAAUUACUGGGCGUAAAGCGUGCGUAGGCGGAUCGACAAGUUGGGGGUGAAAUCCCGGGGCUUAACCCCGGAACUGCCUUCGAUACUGGUAGUCUUGAGGUCGAGAGAGGUGAGUGGAAUUUCCGGUGUAGCGGUGAAAUGCGUAGAUAUCGGAAGGAACACCAGUGGCGAAGGCGGCUACCUGGACUGAUACUGACACUGAGGUGCGAAAGCGUGGUUAGCAAACAGGAUUAGAUA